AGAAAAUGUUUAUCAGAGUUGUAAAAUCCUGAAUGAAACUCGUUUUUGGUUCAAGUUAAAAUAGAGGCUUUGAAAGUAGAGAGCAGAGGAAAAACAGGCCA